ensembl:lncRNA
GCCAUUAUAAUUUCCAUAUCAUGACUUUUUAUUAUAGUAAUCUAAAUCAUAUGUUUUGUUAAAAACUUUGGUAGCCCUACUCACAGAGCUUAAUGAAGGAGAAAAUCAAACAAGAAAAAUUUUAAGUGCAAGUGUCCAAUGUGUUCUAGAAGACAUGAAAUACAGAGCUCUACAGAAGCAAUAUGGUAGAGAGUUGGGGGAGAGGUGAAGCCUGAUAGAGAUGAUAGAAAAGGAAAUAAAGAGGAAAUGAGGAAAGGAGAGGACAAUAAUCAUACAUAGUCAUGUUGACCAUGUAAAGAAAAUGGAUGCUUUCUUUUGCUGUCUUUAAAUUGAGAUAAAUGGGAAGCAAUUAGAAGUUUUAAAUAAGGAGUACCACAAUCACAUUUUUCUGUAGACUUUAGAAGAAUGAUGAGUGGGGCUACUAAAAUCUCUUGGGAAGGUAGUUUGGAAAUUCAAUUAAGAGCUCAUGGAGGCUGAUCUACCGUGACAUUAGUGCUGAUGAAAAUAAGUGGAGAUAUUCAAAAGGUAUUAAAAUCAAUAGAAAAUGAUAAUUUUUUCAGACUGGGGAGUUGAAUGAAAAGAAGAGAAUCAAUGAAGAAUAACUUAGUUUUUCUUUUGUCUUGCCUAGGUUUUGGUGGCAUGUGCUAUGAUUGGAAUCACAGAUGGGGAGCAGGAAAGGAGAAAGAUGGUCUGAUCGGCAAUUAGUAGAAAAGUCAGGACUGCUUUAUUGGACUUUCAAACCAAAAGUGGCUCAAUGGAUAAAGAAUCUGACUGCCAAAGUAGGAG